GGCAACGGAUAUCUCGGCUCUCGCAUCGAUGAAGAACGUAGCGAAAUGCGAUACUUGGUGUGAAUUGCAGAAUCCCGUGAACCAUCGAGUUUUUGAACGCAAGUUGCGCCCGAAGCCUCUGGSUGAGGGCACGUCUGCCUGGGCGU
rnacentral:rRNA from 1 species